UACGGGGGGGGCAAGCGUUUGUUCGGAAUUACUGGGCGUAAAGGGCGUGUAGGUGGCCAACUAAGUCCGACGUGAAAUCCCCAGGCUUAACCUGGGAACUGCGUCGGAUACUGGAUGGCUUGAAUUCGGGAGAGGGAUGCAGAAUUCCAGGUGUAGCGGUGAAAUGCGUAGAUAUCUGGAGGAACACCGGUGGCGAAGGCGACAUCCUGGACCGGUAUUGACGCUGAGGCGCGAAAGCCAGGGGAGCAAACGGG
rnacentral:rRNA from 1 species